rnacentral:rRNA from 1 species
UACGUAGGUCCCGAGCGUUGUCCGGAUUUAUUGGGCGUAAGGCGAGCGCAGGUGGUUUAUUAAGUCUGGUGUAAAAGGCAGUGGCUCAACCAUUGUAUGCAUUGAAAACUGGUAGACUUGAGUGCAGGAGAGGAGAGUGGAAUUCCAUGUGUAGCGGUGAAAUGCGUAGAUAUAUGGAGGAACACCGGUGGCGAAAGCGGCUCUCUGGCCUGUAACUGACACUGAGGCUCGAAAGCGUGGGGAGCAAACAGG